UCAGAUUUGCAGGGUUUGGAAUUCACAUAUGAUGUUCACAGACAGAAGACACUAAAUAAAUUAACAAAAGAGACUGUGCAUAAAAUGAGUUUAUACAACUGUGAUCUGUGCAGCUUUGGACUGAAAUACAGUCAGGGAAUUGCUCUUGGUUUAUCUGGAGACUCCCCCCAGUUUGGUUUCACACCUUGCCCAGUAAUUCAAACAAGCUGAAUGUAUCUUUGCCUUCCAGCACUGUUAAAUUAAUGUUCCUACAACUGGAAUUUCUAAACUCAAAGUUAUCUUUUUAAAGAAGACCCUGGCUCUGUAGUGGGGAACAAUGGAAGAUUUAAUGCAGUUUCUGUGUGCUUUUGUAGUUAAAAGCAUUUUUAAAAAUUGAUUUAAAAUAAAGUCCUACACCUGACAACAAAGAAUAUUGAUAAAUACAGUCAAAGAACUGCAAACAGUCUAAUCUGUUUGGGUUCAAUUCAGGCCUGGCAGCUCUGCAGGAUGAAAUAAUCCACAUAGGAUAAUUCUGGAAUGGGCAAAGGUCCCCAGUGCAGCCUCUGGAUUGGAGUGUGGAGGCACCAUUUGUUGGAGCAGAAGGAUAAUUAAGUUUUUGUUCCUCUUCGCUUGCACCGAGAUGAUUAGCACGGGAAUCUCAUGCUUCCGAGUUUUGCAAGGCAGACACUUUUCUGAUAAGAAUUGGAUUUGCUCAUUUCAGUCACUCUGGUAAACAACCAUCAGAGGACAACUUCUCCCAGCGCAGCGUCAGGCUCGUGGCAGCGGGACGCACCUUGCCACGCUCAGCUCUCUCGGCUCCUCAGAAGUUUAGAGGUCAACAAUUUAUGUAGUCCAGUCAGCAAGAAACGUGUAGCAUCUACUUCUCUGAAUCAGAGAGCUGGCUGAUGUCAAGGGUUUACAAAUGCACCGUCACGAUCUGUUUGUGGACACUGUGAGACAAAGCCAGCUCAUGUAAAAACUUGUGCUAGGAACUGUUGUCAAGCUUGAAAUGCCUUGUGUAUCCAUCAUCAAACAUAUUUAAAAGAAAGAGCCUCUGGUUAAAGAUGAGAGGAGGGAAUACAAACCCUUUUUUAAUCAGUCUGAACAGAAUUUACUUUCCAUUUCUUACUGACUUUCUAUUUGGUCUGCAAUUUAUCUCAUGGUUCAGCUUUCUGAACCCGGUUACAGGUAUGAGCCACAGAGAGAGAGCAGCAAUCCCUUCUGGAAAUGGCUUGGGAUUACCAUGGAGGAAGCAGGAGCAUUGGUGAGAUUUUGAAGAUGGAAGAGUGAAAGAUGAGGUGCUAAAUCUGAGACUGUGGCUGCUAAAAUGAGCUGCUGAACAUCAGAGAGCAAGAAUUACUGCAUUUCCUAAGAGUGCUGCAGAACCUGAGCCUUUUAUUUCUAGUAAUAGAAAUCCACGUGGGUCUCAAGAAGUGUUAAAAAAACAGGUUUUGCAAGCAACAGUUUUUCAUAAAGGCAAAAAUAUAAUAUAUAUAUAUAAAAUACAUAUCCUAUGCUCUGUGAUUAUCUGGCUUGCCCAUUCCAGGUCCCCUGAGCAGAUAACUGCAUCCUCAGCUCCCACACCCUCCAUCCUCAGCUCCUCACCCUCCAUGCUGGCCACUGUGCUGUACAUUAUUGCAAAGGAGCACAGCUGGGUGCUGGACUGUAAUUUCUCAUGCAGCUCAGAUCAGGUCCAUUAGUCUAUUUGAAGGUUAGGACCAAGACCAUGGAAGUGCACGAGAAGCUAAUAGACAGACUGGUGUUCCUGCUGUGUUCACGGGGGCUUAAACUAGGGAGAAAAUAGUCAGGCACAUCCAUAUUAUUUUCACCUUUUGCUUCAUGAUUUGCAGUAGUCUCAUUCAUAAAUGACAAAGAAAGAGCUCCCUGCUGCGAGGUCUUCAUACCACAGAGAGCUGUAAUGAGUUUGUAACGAGAUGGAGAUCAGGAAGAUUUUUAGUGAUUGCUCAGACAAAUCUCUGAGUGCAAAUCAGAGAUGUGCUGAGUGAGGGGUAUAUCUUUCCAUCACUCCAUGGCUUAAACAUCUGAGGAUACUGAGGAUACUUAAGGCAUUCUCAUGGUAUUAUGUAAGAAGAACUCAGGAAGACAAAAAUGUCCUAAAUGCAUCUUUAUGGAUUUUUUGCCUUUGCUGUGUGUCAGAAACUUUUGUAAUUUGACAGCCACCAGCAGUGAUUAAUGGCUGGCAAUAUGGCUAGGGGCAAUGUGUGUUUCAAAGUCAGUAUCAGGAAAGCCUCUGUGUGGCUUUGACAUCUGGGAAGUCUUUGGCUGUGGAACUGUCUCCUUGCAAAAUCAGAAACAUGUAUUUUGCCUGUGUGCUCAUUGAAGAGCUCCAAAUAAAUAGCUGGAAUAUAAAUGAAGAGGAGUGAAAAACAGGAGAAUAUUUACCUUAGAGUGUGGUGCUAAAAUGAGAUUUAAGGGUUGUUUCUCUUUUGGUCUUUUAUGAUAGCUUCAGUAUAUUUAUGUUUUUCAUAGGUAUGCAUAUAUAUUUGUAGAGGUCUAUACAUGUAAGUGCUCCCGAAAUAAAUGUUUUAUUUUCAUUUUCUUAGAAGCAUCAGGUGUUUUCUGUGUUGAAUCUUAGCAUAGGUAAUAUAUAUAUCCUGAUACUAAAG